GCGCACUCUCGACAUAAGACGAGACUUUGUGAGCCCGUGCCAAACUGGCCCUUCUCAAUAACCCUCCCACCAACUGUACCACCUCCCGACCGCUCACGGCGCUCUUUACAAGUCAAAAAAGAAAAAAAUCGACCAGCCGCUAUACUUGAUCCAGGAGCUGUUGGUAGGAGCGUCGCAGAUCAACUUCAACCUCCGACCAUCUCGGACUCUCGGCCAUCCGUUUCAGUUGCCAUUUGUCCAUUUGCGCACACACAAGUUCUUCAAUCUUUCCCAUCUCCGAUCCUUUUUGUGAAAGGGAAAACAAACAAAAGUCCAGGGUUCCAACUCUUUCAUUUGAAUUGAGCGCUUCGAAAUCCGUCCAGGAAGGUUAUAGAAAAAUGAAUAACCCAGAACACGCCCACGCCAAAUCGCUCAUCAUCAACUACGUCGUCAUCAUUCUGCUUCUCUCUCUCCUUUGGCUCCUCUACGAAGGGGCAUUUUAAAUAAAAAGCCAAUUCGAAACAAACAAACAAAAAGAAACGAAUUUCUCACGCGGCGCCACUUCACCAAAAUCAUCACCCACACACACACACACAAAUGUCUCCCCAUUCAACAACACCAAAUCGCGUUUUCGUAUUAGCGGAUGUCCAGAUGUAAAGCAGUCGCGCGCACACCACCACGAAGAGGAUCUUGGGGCAUUGAAGGGACGGAGAACAAUCCGCGCAAUUUCCAUAUUUCAUCCAAUUCAUUUUGGGCCAACCAGAAGGUAAAAAACAUAUAAAAUAAAAAUGUAACACACACGCCAGCCGUUUAUACAUACUCCAUCGGCCUUUGAGACCCGUCAAGACGGAAUGCGGAAACUGUCACCUAUUUUACACCUUCUAAUUUGUUUUGAAUUAUUUAAACCAAAGAAAAACAAGAAUUUGGGUUGAACCUUUCUUCCUUGAAUGCCCCCUUUGACUUGAAGUGUGUCCUCUCUCUCGUAUAUUUUCAACUGUUGGAACAAAUUUCUUCAAAAAAUGACGACAUCAAUUGGAAACAAUCACAUCUACUAUCCCAACUGUACACCCAAUCAAAAACCACAUCUCUCUCCCUUAUUAUUUACUAUUUUAUUGACCGGCGCAUGAUUUUGAUAUUGUGCGUUCACAUUUUUUUUUCAAUCGGCUUCAGACAAUCCCGACACUUAUUUUCCCACCAGUGCGCGUGUUGAUUAUUUUCUCUCAACUGCUUGUAAAGAAAUCCAAUUUUUUUUUCUCUCCUUUUCUAAAUUAUUUAAUUAUUACGAUGGCGGACGGAACAGAGUUGAAAAAUGUCUCUCGACUUCCCGCCGUUUUUAUUUCAAAAAACCAUCUUUUCGCUUGUCGACUUUUUCUCUGUUUCCCCUUUUUGAUUAUAUAAUCUCAUAAUUUCCCCCCUAUACAUUUUUAGGAUAGUCUCUCAGUGUUUUCGACAACUACUGAACAUUUCAGUCUCUCUAUUUGUCCCCAGCCUAUGAUGAUCUAUAUCAACUUUCAAAAACAACCAUUCAAAUUUCUAUUAUUACUUAUAAUGUCUGAGCUAUAAAAUACACACGACGUGUCAGUC